AAGCUGUGAAAGUUCAUGACCACAUUGGAGAACUCCUCACAGUUAAAACAAAUUGGAUAAAAUUAUAAACACCCUACAAAGUGGAUGUUUCUCAAGAUCAGUCUUCCUAAUUAGUCAAGUUGGUUUCUUCUUGAAUUCGACUUUGAGGAAACAACGAAUUUAGAAAAGUAGAGGAAAACGUCCUGUGAAUAGUUAGGGAGCAGUGCCACUUAGUGGCCACACAGGAAAUUAACCCCAAGCAAAGUGGAACAGAAAGGUUGCUUGUGAAUAACAACUUAUUUGUACUAAUUUAAAUAGUAUGCACUCUUGAUAAAAAGAAUGAAGGGAAUAAGGUGCAUUUUAACAUUUGGUUUCAGAACAGGCAGUCAUAAUUUGCUGCUUCUUCCCACCCCCACUUCUUUAGACUUGCUUUGCAUAAGAAAAAUACCCUGCGCACAACUCACUUUAAUGUAGGAAAAUUGUGUCAAUCCACAUUAUGGACUGCAUACUUGUCGUAUCACCAGUAAGCUAAUUCAGGCUUACAUGGCUGCUGCAUGGAUUAGUUAGUGGGUAUUUUUACUAUGUAUUACAAGUAAAUUCUACUCAGAGUAAACCUAUUAAAUGAAUCAAAUUUAGCCAUGUUCAUUCAUCUCUGUAGUGCAGCUCUGAGGAAAACCUGGUUGAAUACUAUCUGAUUUUUUGUAUUCAUAUGCAUAGUUUAAAUUAGUCUGCAUUUAAAUUUAUUUUAAAAAGAGUCAAGUUGCAAUAUGCUGAAGUUGUAUUCAAAUCAAUGGGGUUUGCUUUCAAGUGAAAAAGCAAUAGGACUGAGCUGGACACUUAAGGAGAAAGAUACCAGAACAGGCUUCAAAUCACACACCACAGUUUCCCUUUAAACAUUUCACUUCCUUUUGCUUACAGUUCUGUAAUCACAACUACUAAUAUUAAUUACCACUCUCUUCCUACCUACACACUGACCACUCUUUGAUUUCUUUAGAUUAGUUUUGGGGAACCUGCGGUGCUCCAGAACUCCCAUCAUCCCUGACCACUGGCCAUUGCUGGCUGGGCAUGAUGGGAACUGAACCUCUGACAAGCCACAGGUUUCCCUCCCCUGGUGUAAGGAAGAGAGUUAAUCAAUGAACAUCUAGGCAGAGAAUGCCAUUAGCACUUGUGACCACAGAACUUACUGUGGAUUAAGUAUUCUGCAUUUAAAAGUUUAACAUUGUGCAUGCAUAAUCCCGUGCACUGUGUCAAAAAGGCUUGCUCCCUUUUGUGUUUAGAGAUGCGGCUGAUGUGGACCCAAACACUACAAUGUUUGUAUUAGCAGAAUGGCAAAGUUGUAUGGCUUUUUAAACUAACCAAUGCAGCAUAUGUCCACAGCAUAGUACCCACUGAGGGUACUAUCAGCUAUUGGAUCUUUGCAGCUUGCCUUCUUUGUUUCGAGUUGGUACCCUUAACUUUCUCGAAAUAUAAGAAUGUGUGCCUAUCAUUCCUUCAGUCUCAAACUCCCAAGGAACACUGUUACUGGCAAAAGUACUGAGAGUUCCCUCUUGGAGCAUUGGUGGAGACACAGAACUCUACAGGUUUUCCGGGUAAAAAGUCCCCUGACUUCUGGUACCAGAGUAGAACUUGCUCAUUGGGGUGAAGUACUGAUUUCUUGGUUCUGUGCAGGCUGUAGUCUGGGAAAUAAAUGAUCUGCCUCUUGCAUUCUGGGCAAGUUGUCCAGGAUUGUGUAUCAAGAAAAUGGCCAUGGAGCACAUCACUGCAUGUGACAAUUGUGUUUAUGUAUUUCACAGCAAGUAUUCAAACUAGGAAUUUGCAAGUGGAGUUUCUUAGCCUUCUAUUUACCAUGUGUACAUUUUUAAAUAGGUAGCAUAAUGAUGAGCUCUUCUCACACCAGUACCAUCCCUAUCACACCUCUGCUCUUCUCACACCAGUACCAUCCCAGUUUCCAUGAUGCUGCAGACAUUCAGUAGGCAUAUAUGACCAGUUUCCCCAGGUGCAACCACUGGCCUGGUUUGCAUGUCACAAAAACUGAAACCAUGACUUAAUGCACAUGUGCAUGUUCCUGGAGAGGAGCUCACAGCCACUUUGCUGCUUCCUGGUUAUUUGCAGCACAGACCUAAACCAUGGUUUGCGUGUCAUUCAAACCCAGUUUGUGGUUUAGCUCUCCUGAAUACACAACCACAAACCAUAAAGCAGGUAUGGGGAAACUCUGACCCACCAGAUGUUGCUGAACUACAACUGUUAUCACCCCUAACCCCUAAUCACAAGCCACACUUGCUAGGGCUGAUGGGAGUUGUAGUUCAGCAACAUUUAGAGGGCCAACUCCUGUUGUAAACCAUGGGGCAAACCUCGGUUACAGUACAUGGUUAUUACACUCAAGCCAGGGUUUGGACAACAGCCUAAGCCAUGUUGUGGCCUAGCACAAGACAGUGGCACAGCAGAAUGACCAGGGAGGAGCAAUCUAGAUAUAAUAGCCACAAACCCUCCAAGUGUCCUAUUUUAUAGGGACGUCCCUGAUUUAGAGAAGCCGUCCCAGUUUCUGAUUUCAUCCUGGAAUGUCCCACUUUUCCUUAGGAUGUCCCUAUGUUCAUUGGAGAAAUGUUGGAGAGCAUGGAGUUACCUGACCUCCAAGCCAUCUGAAGGCAAUCUUGUAUAGGGACCCGUCUGGCAUGGCUGGGGCAACCCAGUAAGAUGUGUGGUAUAUAAAUAGUAAAAUUAUUAUGGAAUGGGGCAUCCCUAUUUUCCUCAGAGAAGUGUUGGGAGGGUAUGUAGCCAUGUUUGCACUAAGCCAUGGUUCGGCUCCUGUAAAAAGUGGGUUCACAUCAGGCUCAGUGAAGAGAGGAGCUACUUAUACCUAACAGAAGAUGGUCAGCUGGCAGAAAAGCCAAGAAGGAAAUGGUGCACAAUAGAUCAAUGGGAGCCCAAAGCAAAAAGUAUACCCAGGGAAAUGUUAGGACUGGGUGAGGUGGAAUCCUAUUUAGGACUAGCAAAUUCAUUCAGUGUGUCAAUCUUUUAGGGGUUGGAAUGGCGUGGGACUGGCUGGUGCUCUGAAAUCCAGCCUGCAAACGCAGCAAUGUUUCAUUUCAGACUCCAAGGGGAAAGUUGGGCUGCAGGUUCUGUCUCUGAAAGUUGCUCCAGCUACAUCAUCCAGUUCUGAUUUUCUGGUGGGGCAUCUCCUCUUCUAACUGCAGGAAUGGCAGACACAGACACGUGGGACAAUUGCUUCCCGGUCAGGCCUCUAAAAUGAGCCUGUGGGAGAGCAAAGCCUCUUUAACUGGAUCUCUGUCAUGGUUCAUUGCCCCCACAGACCCCGUUAAGAGCAUCUGCAAGCCCCUGGAAUCUUGCAGCACUAGUGGAGACUGGAGUGGAGUGUGACAAUAUCUAGCUGCAGGCAUGCUUGUUAAGAAAUAUUGCCAAAUGUAAAGGCUCUAGGCAAACCAAUAUCCUACCCUAUCUGGCUUCAGAGAAAGUUGCCUAUAUGGUGUUGCAUGAGCAAGAAGUAUCCUAAUGUUUUCCCUUCCAUGGAAUAAGAGAACAGAACUUUGCACCAUGCCCUCUGCUGGUAAAAAGGAUGAAAUUCAUAAAUAUCUAGUAAAAGUGAUUCAACUGAAAGGAAAUGUAUCUUCAGGCCAGUUAGCUAUGAUAAUUAACCAGUUUUUGUUUCAUUUUGAAUCUAUGUAGAGAACAGCCACGUACACAAAUUUAUAUUUUAGGGAUUAUUAUCUUACUCCAGUGAGAACAUUGGGAAUAGUAACACAUAAACGCAAGAUGUGUAAAAUAUUAGCAAUAUAUAUUUUUUUUAAUGCUAUAAUACUAAAAUCUCCAGCUCAUCCAUAACUUAAUGAAAUGAAAACCUAUUCUUGAUUUUAGAGGUAACAGUAACUCUCAAAGAGGUUUAAAAAAUGUAUAAACCCACUCACCCAAUACACUACAAGACAAAUAUCUCACAUUGAUGUUUUAAAACCGUGAAUUUAAUUGUGGUGCAUUUCAACUCAAUACCAGAUUAGCAAAACGUAAGAGGGUCACAACUCCUACCUACCUUCCCUGGUAACCCUCUACCAAAAACCAAGUUCAGUCUUGAAACCACACUUGUCUGAAAAAAAGGCAGUAGCUAAAAUGAUUAAUAAGAGAACAGGAAAGAGAAGGGAAAUAAAAUAAAAUCAAAUUGGGCAGAAUGAGAUAGCCUCCCCAUUUCAUUCACAGGAAAUCCAUCCAGAUUUUCUAGAAGAGUUUUGAUUACACUCUUCCGUUAUAAGCCAGGCAUCCUUUCACAGUCUGGUCUAUCAGACUCAUCCUAAAACAUUGGGCAGUUUGCAAUGCUGUAGAAUUUAUCAAGGCCAACUUUUGUAUGCAUCCAGUUGUCAAUGUAGCAAGAACAUGUUCAAUAACUUCUACACUGCUAAGAUAUCUGCUAGUUCUUAGGGUGGACAACAUGGAGGUAAAGGGUUGAAUCCAAUAAUAGCCAUACGAAGAGUAGACCCAUUGAAAUUAAACAUCUACUGACUUAUUUGCAACACCAAGGUUUAAAUCUUACACUCUUCCAAUUCUUCUAGAGAGUAGUAUGUCAAUUACCUGAUUGUACUAAAGGGGAGAUUUCAUUUUAAUAGCACAAACAGGCCUGCAAUUACACUUCUAGCACACUUUGGGGAUAAAUGGAUCAGAAGCAAAGCUUUCCAAAAUUCCAGCAAGAGAAAAAUAAAUAGGGUUGAGCUAUCAGAAUAAUCCCACUCCACAGCUAUAUAUUUCUGUUAAUGUUGGACGUCAUGCAACCAAACCAAUUGUCAUGAUGCAGGUUUGGAAGAUAUAUGUUGCCAUUUGGAGCACUGAAACCCCAUCUCUGACCAUUAGACAUUUUAAACCAACCUUAAAUUUUGAAUUUUUCAGCAGGCAUUGUCCCCUCACUUUGAAGCAUACGUUUCACAAAUGCUGAAGAUUAGAUGCUUUCUCUUUCAAAUAUGAAAGCUGACGUUCGGAGCAAUCCAUAUUCUGUUCUGAUCUACUACAUUCUGUGCACUUUUACAGAACACACGCUUUUCAAGAUGAAUUAUUCUUUUUUUAAAAUACAAAGUGGUAUGUCUUCUGACACCUAAGUGAUUCCAGAAUGAGUGAAGAAAUGUUAUGUUUUAUGUUGUGAACUGCCCUGAGAUCUGCAGGUGAAGGGCAGUAUAUAAAUUUAAUAAAUAGUAAUUAUUAUUUUUAAAAGAAAUCUGAAAUUGUGAAUGUCGGAAUAUACAGGAAAUGAAUGAAAUAUUUGUCAAUGCACAUUUUGUACACAUAUUUUAAUGGUUAAUGAGCAAUGGCGAAUGGACAUAAACAAACGUGGGACAUUUCCUCUCUCUCCCCCCAACUUUCCUUUUGUAGCUGCUGCCAUGUAUGCACUUCUAAAUUGUUCAAAAGCUGAAAAUAAAAGGACUGCUACUAAGCAUUC
rnacentral:lncRNA from 1 species